CCUCGCCCGCGCAGAGUUUCCGCGCGCCCGGCACCCCCGCCCACCCCCGGGCCAUUUACCGAUGUGGUUGUCCUCGAUGUGCUCGAUGAGGUCUGCCAGGGUGGGGAAGUGCAGUCCGCAGCCCCCGAAUCGGCAGAGCACGAUGUGACAGCUGGAGCAACAGUGGCUAUCUUAUGAGCAUGAGGAUGAGGACCACUCACUAGGAUGGUGAACUGGAACUGCCCCAUCCAUGCUGCACUGCCAGUCUACUUCUGGAAUUCUGUGAGAGAAAAAUAAAUUCCUAUUUACUUAAAA